CAAUAUUCAGAUGUCUACUUGACUGUGGACCAAUACAUGGAGGUAACUCUUCCAUGGAUGGAACACCGGCCACAUGAUUACAAGGUUUUGUGUGAGAUAUGAGCUUCACCAGAGUGGAUUAAGAAGUCCAACAGGAAUCGGCAUAGGCAGCGCCAUCAGCCGGACUGGGACGAUGAUGAGGUCGUAGUCAACCAUAUCUAUGGGGCUGAUGGACACAUUCGGUUGGAGAAGCGAAUGGAGGCUCAAAGUGGAGUUGUCCUGAGCCAAAUCAAUGUUUAUAGGCGAGGGCAUAGAGCGAAAAACAGUGAAAUCUCCGAUGAGCUAUGUAGUCAAGCGGCCAUUGAGCGUAUGGAGACUUACGGGCAGGUGAUGGUUAGGAAGUAUGGAUAAGAGUAUGAUUGGCGAGGAGCGCGUACCAUCGAUGCUGAAGUUGUGCAUUCUAUUGGAGGAAAAGCCCAUGGACGAUAUUAACUUGUGAUUUUUUUUCAAUAAUAUUGAAAGUAUGACCGAAUAGCUAAUUUUCUUGUUUUUCAAGAUAUUCUAUGUUUACCAGUGUGAUUGAUUCAACAGAGUUGCAGUCUCAUGGCGGCUCUUCGUCGUAGGCAGGUUGUGGUAGCAGCCGUAGUCGGCACUCGAGCAUGGAUGACGCUAUGAGGGAGCAGCAAGAAAGGUUUCGUGAAGAGCUGCGACAACAACAAUGACAUUCCCCCAACAACAAUCAGAGUACAUGGCUGCUUAGAACGAACAAGUGCAACAAGCAAUGAACUUUUGAUUUCCAGAGCAAGCACAACAACAACCAUUCGUUUUCCCCUCAAACGAGUGGGCUCGGCUCGACUCGGUGGACAAGCGAGCUCG